CCGGCGUCGCCCCACUGGGAGCCCCCGCACGCACGCGCCGCAGGCCGCGCCAGACGCCCCGCCGGAGACCAGACAGCGGUGUUGGGGGGGCCUUAAAGGGACCGCCGCGCUGACUGAGCCGGAGCGGACGGGGCGGUGCGCGCUCCCCAGGUCUUGCACUAUUGCUGUUAGGGGGAUUGUUAUUAUUUGCAAAGAACUGGAUUGCCACCAGGUUUACAAGGCUGUUUCACGCGUGUUGUCUUGUGAGCUCCUGAAUGGCUCUCCUGACCUAGCUCGGAAGCAGGGCAGGACAGAGGAGCUCGGCCUCCAAGUGACAGCAGUGAUGACAGCCCCCAUUUACAGAGCACCCAGUGUGCGCCGGAUUCUUAGGAGGAACCUCAUACAUGUACUCCGUAAUGUUGGCAAUAAUCCUCCAAGUCGAGUACCAUUAAGACCAUUUCACACGUGAGGCUCUGGGAGAUUUUUGUGAUUUGUCACAAACCACAUAGCAGUCUUGGACCUCUAGUUACCAAGGGAAAUGAAGGAGCAAGCAGCUCGACUGGAAGCCUGCCGGGAAGGAGAGGCAGCUGGUGCCCAGCCCCUUGUGGAAUCCUGCCCCCUAGUGGAGUGAUCAAAACUGCAGGCCUCUGUCCUCCAAUGUUCUCAAACCUUCUGCCUCCGUGGAUCACAGCCAUUGUGCUCCCAGCACUGGGCACAGGACAGCAGAGGCCACCCCUGUGGGACAGACACAUGGACUAUGAACAGAAGCGUGUGCUUCAAGCCAGAGGGUCUCAAUCAUUCCCUGAACACCCAUGCCCUCUUUGGAUAGAAGUAUUUUAUGGCAUCCUCUUAGUACCAUGAAAUAAAAAUCAUAGAUAAUAGAAUAUGCCCAAACACAUAACUAAAAAAAUAAGUAAUUGCAUAAGUUCACCAAAUGACAUUCAUAAAAUGUUGCUAGGGACAGGCAUUUGGCCUAGUGGUUAAGCAACAGCUUGGGAUACCCACACCCCAUGUUGGAGUGCCUGGGUUCAAAUCCUGGCUCCAUUCCCAGUUUCAACUUCCUGCUAAUGUAGACUCUAGGAGGCAUCCGUGAUGGCUCAAGUACUUGGGUCCCUGCCUUCCAUAUGGGGAUCCUGAAUUGGGUUCCUGGCUCCUGGCUUUAGCCUGGCCCAGCCUAGGCUGUUGCAGACAUUCAGGGAGUAAACCAGUGGAUGGAAGUUUUCUUUCUUUCUCUCAAUCUACCUCUCAAAUAAAUUACUUAAUUAAUUUUUUUAAAAGAACGUACAUGGCACUGUUAUUUGUAAUAGCCCCAAACUGGAAACAGCCCAUAUAUUCACCUUCAAUAGCAUGGAGAAAUAAGCCAUGAGAUAUCCAUACAAAAAAAUGCCCUGCAGUGAUGAGAAUGAACACACUCCCAAUUCACCCAACAACAUGAGUUUGAAAAUGUAAUUUUGACUCAAGGAAACAACACGCAAAACAUUUAUGCACUGUAUGAUUCUAUUUAUAUCAAGUUCAAAGAUAGGCAGAAUUAAUUUAAGGUGCUGGAAAUAAACUAAAACUCUUUUUUUAAAAAAAAGAUUAUUUAUUUCAAAGGCAGACUUAUAGAGAGGCAGAGGCAGAAAGAGAGAGAGAGAGUGAAAGAGAGAGAGAGAGAGAGAGGUCUUCCAUCUGCUGGUUCACUCCCCAAAUGGCUGCAAUGGCUAGAGCUGGGCCAAUCUGAAACCAGGAGCCAGGAACUUCUUCCAGGUCUCCCACGCAGGUGCAAGGGCCCAAGGACUUGGGCCAUCUUCUACUGUUUUCCUAGGCCACAGCAGAGAGCUGGAUCGAAGUGGAGUGGCCGGGACUCAAACUGGCAGCCACAUGGGAUCCCGGCACUGCAGGUGGCGGCUUUACCCGCUACGCCACAGCACCAACCUCAAAGCAAAACUUUUGAAAAUGAAGGAUCUCUGAGAUAAAAGGAUUUGUUGAGCCAAUGCCAGCCAGCAAGGAGACUAUGUCCUGGGACAAGAUUCUACAACCUUCAGCAGCAAGGCUGGGAAGCACUUGGAAAAGUGUCUGCCUGGCCUAGAGCUAGAAGUAGCUUUAUGUUAAGGACUGGGGGAAGAAAACAUAAAUUGUCUACACUGAAGAUGUGCUAACUUUUUUAAAAAAUUAUUUUUAGGCACCGGUGCUGUAGUACAGUGGGUUAAAGCCCUGGCUUGAAGUGCUGGCAUCCCAUAUGGGUGCCAGUUCUAGUCCUGGCUGCUCCUCUUCUGAUCCAGCUCUCUGCUAUGGUCUGGGAUAGCAGUAGAAGAUGGCCCAAGUGCUUAGGCCCCUGCACCCACAUGGGAGACCUGGAGGAAGCUCCUGGCUCGUAACUUUGGAUUGGCUCAGCUCCGGCCAUUAAAGGCCAUUGUUUUGAUGAAAUGCAUGCACUGGGCCCCAAGAGACCAGCCUAAAAGUUAAAAUGGAGUCACCUGUGCUAAAGUUCCAAGUCUCCAAGCUGAAAGCAAGCUGUGUGUCUGAACGUCCAAGAAAUCAGGAUUAAAGACACAACAAACACAUUUCCCCACAACAGCCUGUUCAGUUAGAAUAAUCACGCUAUUCUCUCUGCUUUAAUGCUAACACACAAAAGGCUAACCUGGAAGCGGGCCUUUAACCUAGUGGUUAAGAUACCUGCAUCCCACGCUGGAGAACCUCGGCUCAGUUUCCAGCUCCAGCUCCUGACUCCAGCUUCCUGCUAGUGCAGUCCCUGGGAGGCAGUGGUGAUGGCUCAGGUAACUGAGUUCCUGCCACCCACAUGGGAGACCUGCAUAGCAUACCCAGCUCCUGGCUUCAACCAGGCCCAGCCCAGCCCUGGCCACUGUGAGCAGUGAAUGAGAGUUCACUCUCUUCUCUCUCUUUCUUUGUGUGUGUUUGCCUCUCUCAUUCAUUCAUUCAUUAUUUUAAAAAAAGGGAGCUGGGUUGCUGGCUUUGUGGCACAGUGGUACCACCAGGCCAGCACCACAGUGACCAUCUGUCCCUAUCGUUUUCCUCAUGUUUCUUGCUUCUCUCCCAUGACCCUCCCAGGCACGUGACAGGCAGACCAGGUGCAGGGGCACCGUGCGUCCUGCAGCCCCUCAGCCCUGGAACUCACCCUGGUUUUGAACUUGUACCUCUGUCAAGCAAGCACACAGAGAAGGGGAGCCAAAUGGCAUGAAAGCCGGGCCAUUAAAGCCCUUUUCCAGGGGCUGGUGCUGUGGCGUGCUAGGCUGAGCUCCACCUGCCCCACCGGUAUCCCAUAUGGGGGCAGGUUCGUGUCUCUCUGCUGUGGCCCGGGAAAGCAGCAGAGGAUGGCCCAAGUGCUUGCUCCCUGCACCGGCAUGGGGGGACCUGGAGGAAGCUCCUGGCCCUUGGCUUCAGAUCGGUGCAAUUCUGACUGUUUCGGCCAUUUGGGGAGUGAACUGAAAAAGCUCUGGUCGCUUCAGCGAGCUUGAGGGCUCGGCCGUGUGCCUCCUGUGUGAGGGACUGACCCUUGGUCACACCAUCACAUGGGCCUUUGAACACAUGUGCCCUUUCCCGCUGUAGCUGCCUCCUGCAGAGCCUUCAAAGCUCACUCAUCUGCCCCUCCUGGAAGCUUUCCCUUUUCUCCAGGGUUCCCAUGACUACCAGCAGACAGACCUGGGACCUGACCCCAUGCUCCAGGGUCUGCAGAAGCCCCCCAGACAUCACCCCUGCUGCCUCUGGAUGGUCUAAAGGGAAGGCCUGACCUGGUUGAGGGGGCUUAUAUCUUUUCUUGAAGGCGUUUGUUGCUGUUGGAGGUUUUUCCUUGGUAAGAAGUUUUUCUUUCUUUUUUUCAAGAGCUCCUUCCGGGUCUCCCAUGCGGGUGCAGGGGCCCAAGCACUUGGGCCAUCUUCUACUGCCUUCCCAGGCCAUGGCAGAGAGCUGGACUGAAAGAGGAGCAGCCAGGACAUGAACUGGUGCCCAUAUGGGAUGCUGGCACUGCAGGCAGAGCCUUAGCCUAUUAGGCCACAGCACCAUUCCCAGUAAGAAGCUUUUCUUUGGGGCCUUCUUGUAUUUUGGCUUUGAGUUCAUCACUACUUAGUUCUUUAAAAAAAAAAAAAAGAUGUAAUUAUACAUGUGAAAGGCAGAGUUACAGAGGGAAAGGGAUCUUCCAUCCACUGGUUCACUACUCAGAAGGUUACAACAGCUGGGGCUGGGCCAGACCGAAGCCUAGGAGCCUAGAACUCCAUCCAGAUCUCCCAGGUGGAUGCAGGUCCUUGGGCCAUCCUCUGCUGCUUUCCCAGGUGCAUUAGCAGGGAGCUGGAUCGGAAGUGGAGCAGCUGGGACUUAUGACCAGCGCUCCUAAGGGAUGCCACUGUCACAGGAAGCUGCUUACCCUGCAGCACUGCAAUGCCGGCCCCACUACUUAGUUCUUGAGUUUGCACUUUUGUUUUGCUCGAAAUAAAUCCUGCUU